rnacentral:tRNA from 1 species
CGCGGCGAUCCGGUUGGUCCGGGCUCCGGUUCAUACCCGGGAGUGCUGUGGGUUCGACUCCCACCGUCGCGU